AGGAAGGACUUCCAAGAGAUAGUACGCCUGCCUUGGGCGCAGGAGGUCCCGAGUUCAAAUCUCGGCGCCCCGACCA
rnacentral:tRNA from 1 species